UACGAAGGGGGCUAGCGUUGCUCGGAAUCACUGGGCGUAAAGGGCGCGUAGGCGGCUUAUCAAGUCGGGGGCGAAAGCCCGUGGCUCAACCACGGAAUGGCCUUCGAUACUGGUAGGCUUGAGACCGGAAGAGGACAGCGGAACUGCGAGUGUAGAGGUGAAAUUCGUAGAUAUUCGCAAGAACACCAGUGGCGAAGGCGGCUGUCUGGUCCGGUUCUGACGCUGAGGCGCGAAAGCGUGGGGAGCAAACAGG
rnacentral:rRNA from 1 species